GCCCCCUCUGCCCCGAGGUCGCCUCCCAUGGAGCCGUCACUCCUGACGUGCUUCAGCCGGAGGCACUCCUAGACCUCCUCCAGGGCCAGGAUCCACAGGACGCCCUCUGCCCCGAGGUCGCCUCCAAUGGAUGCGCCAUCAUCUUCCCUCGUAGACGCACCGUGAUACGUCUCCAACGUAUUUACAAUUUUUUAUUGUUCCAUGUUGUUAUAUUAUCAUUCUUAAGUGUUUUAUAAUCAUUUUGUAAUAAUUUUAUAUUAUUUUUUGGGACUAAUCUAUUGACAUAGUGCCCGGUGCCAAUUGCUGUUUUUUUACCUCGCAGAAUAUCAGUACCAAACGGAGUCCAAACGCAGCGAACCUUUUUGGAGAAUUUUUAUGGACCCGAAGGAACAAGUUGGGCCAAAGAAGUACCAGAGGGGUGCCCCCAGGGGGGCACAACCCACCUAGGCCCACUUCGGUGGCCUCCCGCACCGCCUCUUUGCUCUAUAAAUACCUCAAAAAUCCAGAAACCCUAGGGGAGUCGACGAAACACAAUUUCAGCCGCCGCAAUUUCCAGAACCACCAGAUUCAAUCUAGAAACCAUCACGGAGGGUUCUUCAUCCUCAUUGGUGCCUCUCCGAUGAUGCAUGAGUAGUUCAUUGUAGACCUACGGGUCCAUACGCAGUAACUAGAUGGCUUCUUCUCUCUUUUUGAUUCUCAAUACAAUGGUCUCUUGGACAUCUAUUUGAUGUAACUCUUUUUUUCGGUGUGUUUGUUGGGAUCCGAUGAACUUUGAGUUUAUGAUCAGAUCUAUCUAUCCAUGAAAGUUAUUUAAGUUUCUUUGAUCUCUUAUAUGCAUGAUUACUUACAGUCUCAAAUUUCUUCUUCGAGUCUUUGGUUUAGUUAGGCCGACUAGAUCGAUUUUUCUUGCCAUGGGAAAAGGUGCUUUGUGAUGGGUUCGAUCAUACGGUGUUCUUUCCCAGUGACAGAAGGGGCAGCA
rnacentral:lncRNA from 1 species